AGUCUCACGGUCCAGUCAGGAGUGGACGCCUCCCUGUCACGGAGGAGAUCGGGGGUUCAAAUCCCCCUGGGACUGCCA
rnacentral:tRNA from 1 species